AAAUUUUCUUAAUAGAAUCUUAAUAGAGACUUAAUAGACCCAUAAGAUCAGUCCAAAUAAGGACUUAGCUAAACGCUAACCUCAGCUAUGUCUUAAGAAGACGGUUAUCUGUCGGUUCAGUCAGUGUUUACAAUAACGUGCGUGAUUGCAUGAGCUUGUAGCUAAUGCUAACCGCAAGCUAGCGGGCUAUCGCGGUUAACCCGUGUUUGGUGUCAGAGGUUCUUGUGAAGAUGCUGUGGAAGUGUAAAUGCUGUAUCUAAACUACACCAAGUCUAUGAAGCUCUCAUUUCAGUUCAUCCAACAGGUUCUUCUCACGUUGGGUCACAGUAAACUGAAACCAAGGCUACAAACACUGAAAAACCAGCUUGAAAUUUAAAGAAAUGUGUCAAGUAUGCUGUGAACAGCCAUAAUUUUAUCAUUUUUAGUCACUUUCAGAUGUGGCCAAAGUCAAGGUGUUGCAUGUAGGUUGUUAUACAGUUUGGUGUUCCUAAAGGAGGCCUUUGCCAUACAAAUAAUGUUUAAUGUGCCUCUUGCAAAUAUGCAAUUGUUUAGAAAUUAGUUUUUUUGUUUGUUUUUUUGGGUUGUGCAAUACUGUAGAAUAUUAUCUUGCAUUAUUUUGUGAAAAAAUAAAUGUUUUUCUGAAUAUUUAAA